rnacentral:rRNA from 1 species
UAGGGAAUUUUCGGCAAUGGGGGCAACCCUGACCGAGCAACGCCGCGUGAGUGAAGACGGCCUUCGGGUUGUAAAGCUCUGUUGUAAGGGAAGAACGGUAGAUAGAGAAUAUCUAAGUGACGGUACCUUACCAGAAAGCCACGGCUAACUACGUGCCAGCAGCCGCGGUAAUACGUAGGUGGCGAGCGUUAUCCGGAAUUAUUGGGCGUAAAGGGUGCGUAGGCGGCCUGUUAAGUAAGUGGUUAAAUUGUUGGGCUCAACCCAAUCCAGCCACUUAAACUGGCAGGCUAGAGUAUUGGAGAGGCAAGUGGAAUUCCAUGUGUAGCGGUAAAAUGCGUAGAUAUAUGGAGGAACACCAGUGGCGAAGGCGGCUUGCUAGCCAAAGACUGACGCUCAUGCACGAAAGCGUGGGGAGCAAAUAGGAUUAGAUACCCUAGUAGUCCACGCCGUAAACGAUGAAUACUAAGUAUUGGGGAAACUCAGUGCUGCAGCUAACGCAAUAAAGUAUUCCGCCUGUGGAGUAUGCACGCAAGUGUG